rnacentral:lncRNA from 1 species
AACCGGGCGGGGCCGAGAUGCUGGGGAGCGACAGCUAGUGGUUUCUUUCCGGCCGGCACGGUUCUUCACCUGUUUACAUACAUCCGGGAAGACAAUUAUAAGGUGGUUCACUCACCUAACUGCACACAGUCGAACUAAAAAGAGGAAAGGCGACAUGAGACUCCUUGAAGAAGCCAUAGCAGACCUUUAAUUGGUGAAUGUUUCGUACCUGGGCUCAGUCCAGGGUAAGAACUGUUAUCUUUUCUUAAGCCUCAAAGAGGAUUGUAAACUUUGAAGAUGGCGGCUUCAGGAAGAGGGGAUCAACCCAGGGAGAACUGGUGAGAUGUGACAGGCAUGGAAGGAGCAGCUGACAAGGGUCAAGCUGUGAACAGAACAGUCAGCUUUCCCUAACCAGAGACAGGGAGUUAAUGCAACUGAAAAGAACUGACAAAUGUUCACAAUGGGAGAC